CCUACGGGAGGCAGCAGUGGGGGAUAUUGCACAAUGGGGGAAACCCUGAUGCAGCGACGCCGCGUGAGGGAAGACGGUUUCCGGAUUGUAAACCUCUGUCUUUGGGGACGAAUUGAGACGGUACCCAAGGAGGAAGCUCCGGCUAACUCCGUGCCAGCACCCGCGGUAAUACGUAGGGAGCAAGCGUUAUCCGGAUUUAUUGGGUUUAAAGGGUGCGCAGGCGGAUUUUUAAGUCAGCGGUCAAAUCGUGGGGCUCAACCUCAUCCAGCCGUUGAAACUGGGGAUGUAGAGUGUGCGAGAAGUAUGCGGAAGGCGUGGUGUAGCGGUGAAAUGCAUAGAUAUCACGCAGAACCCCGAUUGCGAAGGCAGCAUACCGGUGCACAACUGACGCUCAGGCACGAAAGCGUGGGUAUCGAACAGGAUUAGAUACCCCAGUAGUC
rnacentral:rRNA from 1 species